rnacentral:rRNA from 1 species
GACGAACGCUGGCGGCGUGCUUAACACAUGCAGGUCGAACGGAAAGGCCCUGCUUUUGUGGGGUGCUCGAGUGGCGAACGUGUGAGUAACACGUGAGUAACCUGCCCUUGACUUUGGGAUAACUUCAGGAAACUGGGGCUAAUACCGGAUAGGAGCUCCUGCUGCAUGGUGGGGGUUGGAAAGUUUCGGCGGUGGGGGAUGGACUCGCGGCUUAUCAGCUUGUUGGUGGGGUAGUGGCUUACCAAGGCAUCGACGGGUAGCCGGCCUGAGAGGGUGAACGGCCACAAUGGGACUGAGAGACGGCCCAGACUCCUACGGGAGGCAGCAGUGGGGAAUAUUGCACAAUGGGCGGACGCCUGAUGAAGCAACGCCGCGUGCGGGAUGACGGCCUUCGGGUUGUAAACCGCUUUCGCCUGUGACGAAGCGUGAGUGACGGUAAUGGGUAAAGAAGCACCGGCUAACUACGUG